GGAAAGAGUAUGUUUUUGAAAUUGAAUGUACAGACUGAAUGAUCCUUUAAUAAAAAUCUCAUUGGGUGAUAAAUUGAGAUUGCGUUUAUAUUAUAAAGACUCGUUAACUGUGACAAAAUGAUUCACUACUUGUAUUACACGUUAAUCUGCGAUGUUGAACAUCAUUCAAAAGUUACUUUCGCUGAAAGCAAAACCAUAAACUGAUAUUAUAUACAAGUACACGAGAGUUAAACUUUUUAAAAACGAAAAAUAAAAGAUUUAACAAAUUUACCGGCAAAUGUCUCUCGUUAUAUAUUCGAUACAGCCAAUUGUAUAAUAAUUCUGUGGUAAAUACUAAUUGAGGAGUGAGAAGUAAAACCAUCCAAGCAUAAACUUUAGUAAUUGCACACAUAAUUUUUAAAGUAAGUCGAUCUACGGCAUUCAGAUGGAAAAGGAAACGAUAAAGAAUAAAGUUAAUUUCAUAUGCACGAGAGUUUGUUCCAAGAGAAGAGAAAGGUGACAAUGAACCUGGACAAUAAUAAGCGCGGCCUUGGCAGUGGAAAGAU